GUGAGGAGACACAAUGGACCUGACGUGUGGGGUCUGAGUCCUACUGAAUCAGCUGGAAGUCUGGAGGACGAAGCAGCAGACCAGGGUUUACCAAAGUGAAGCUGCUAUUCUGUAAAUCCUGUAGGGACAGAGUCAGACACAACAACAGAACCGGACCCCGGCUAGCCCCUCGCUACCUCACCUAACCUCCAGCUCCACGUGCUAACAGCUAACCGGGCUGCACCGUUGGUCGGCACCGUUCUUCCAAAACACAACGUUACCGUCACGUGCGUGCUAUCUGGCCGCUGGAUGAGUUCUUCGUGGAAUCCGAUCGCUGCUGCAGUCACCAAACGGCGGGAAGACGAAGGAUUCGAAUCUCUGAACCAGGAACAUAAACAGUCUGCAGUUUCCUGUUAUUCAACACUCCCAUUCAUUGUCUAUGUAAGAGCAAUACAUUCUGGUCACGCUGUGUUGACAUACCCGUUUCCCAGAUCAGCUGGAUGCAGUAGAGGCGUACUGCUGCCAUCUACAGGUCAUUUCUGGUAUGACAUGGCUAGUGUAGAGUCCAGUACGCUCUAAAAAAACAGCAGCAUUCAUCAAUCUGUUUCUGUUGGGACAACUUCUAGAGAAGUUAUGUUCAACCAACCAAACCCAGUCAGAGAAAUCAGAUUUUCCAAAUGUAUUUUUAAUUACUUAAUGACUGGCAGCAUAAACCCAAGUUUUUAGGCUGAUUUUAUCUCACUGUAACCAGCAGCAGCCUCACAGAUUGUCUUUGGUCAAAAUGUCUUCAAUAUCUGACUGUGGGAUUUGUUAACUUAAUAUCUUGAGUUUGUUAAACUUGCCUUCUCAAGUUCAUUUAACUCUGCUAGUUUUACAUUUUCACAACUGAGCCUUUACUGACUCGGUAUCAGUACAAACUUAAGCCCCGUUCUUUCAUAUCCAUUAUCGCACACAUGGCCUGAAGGGAAAACAUCUGUGGCAGAUUUUGAGCAGCUUUCUAAAACAAAAAUUGUUUAAAACAAAUUUACUUCACCCAGAGGUCAUCAACCGCCACAGAAGUCUUUGUCAUGGUGCCCAUUGGUAGCUAAACUCCCACAAUGCUCUCUGAUUGCCAACAUAAACUGUAUUCUGAGUGACGCCUCCUGUGGUCUCCACAAUAUUAAACAGGAAGAAGCUCCGCCUGGUGGAACAAGCAGGUACUACACCUGAUCUACAUUUACUGACAUCAUGGAGAGAAAACAGGUUUUCUAUGUCUUUUGGAGCCUCAGUACAUCCUACCAUCUAAUACUACAUUUACCCUCUCAUACUACAUUUACCUUUGACACAAAUGACUUCGAUGCUACAAAAAGGAAACAGUCAUUUGUCCAUUUUACACACAUAAACUUUAUUGCAAAGGAUGUUUUUGUCACAUCAACACCUUUAAAUCCACUUUAAUGACAAACAGAUGUUCUUUUCUGUCACGUUUUAAUGUUUCUCGAUGUUCAUUUCUGAGCCGGUAAAAUGACGAUAUGUCUGACGUUAAUACGAAGGGUUUGGUAGCAGAGUGGUCUGACCUACUUUCUGCCAUUUUAGACAAAAACAGGUUAGAAGUUUUGUGUUUUCAAGAACGGUCUACCACUGGAAGCGCCACUGUAGUGCUGUAUUUAGGCUGGUCAGACCAUUCUGCUUCUAACCCCAUCACCUAAAUCAUGAAAUAAAUCUCUAAGGAUUGGUCACUUCAGGAAGAACUCAUUCACAGGAAUCAUGUCACAUUUCAUCCAACAACAACAACAA